CCUACGGGUGGCAGCAGUGAGGAAUAUUGGUCAAUGGGCGGAAGCCUGAACCAGCCAAGUAGCGUGCAGGAUGACGGCCCUACGGGUUGUAAACUGCUUUUAUACGGGAAUAACGCGCCUUACGUGUAGGGCUUUGCAUGUACCGUAUGAAUAAGGACCGGCUAAUUCCGUGCCAGGAGCCAGGGUAAUCCGGAAGGGCCGGGCGUUAUCCGGAUUUAUUGGGUUUAAAGGGAGUGUAGGCCGCAUGUCAAGCUUGCUGUGAAAUGUCCGGGCUCAACCCGGGCCGUGCAGCGCGAACUGGCGGGCUUGAGUCCGCGGAAAGCAGGCGGAAUUCGUCGUGUAGCGGUGAAAUGCUUAGAUAUGACGAAGAACCCCGAUUGCGAAGGCAGCUUGCUGCAGCGGAACUGACGCUGAUGCUCGAAAGCGCGGGUAUCGAACAGGAUUAGAUACCCGAGUAGUC
rnacentral:rRNA from 1 species